rnacentral:Y_RNA from 1 species
GGCUGGUCUGAUGGAAGUGUGUUAUCAGAACUUACUAACAUUAGUGUCACUAAACUUAGUAUAAAACCCCCCUCUGCUAAAUUUGACUGGCAUAA